UGGGAGCUUGAGGAAUUGAUGAAGAAGCAUCAUCCUCAUCUUUUUACUGAGUAAGGUAUGAGUUAAGUUUAAGUGUUAGUUGAGUUAUGAGUUCAUUUCGAGGACGAAACUCUUUUAAGGAGGGUAGGAUGUAAGGAAGUGAAUUCUCGAAAAUGCGAGAGUUGAACUUCGUUUGGAAUCGACUGAUUGUCGGUUGGGUACGCUUCGGAGAGGCCGAAGGCGUCAAAAA
rnacentral:lncRNA from 1 species